rnacentral:lncRNA from 1 species
AUCUCAAGAGUUGCAGAGCAACAGAUGCUGGCAUGAUGGGAAAAGAAAAAAAAGUAAGAGUGCUGGAGAUCGGACCUAUCACCAGUCCUGACACAGUUUAAAUUUUGCUUCUUUGGGACCCCUCUACCACGAGAAUGCUCUGAUCUUAUUUCCUUUGAUUGACUCACCCCUUUACAGCUCAAACUAAAUUCUCAUUUCUACAGACAUCCCCAGUCUUCCCAAAGAAAAGGCAGGCUUCCUUCCUCUCUCUGUUUCUCUAGCUCUCCAUCCUUAGAACAAUGGCCACUUCCUGGUUUAUAUGCUAUCUUAUGGACAGAGCCGGA